ACAGCCACCAAAAACUAUAGGAAAAAUAACCAAUUUACUCUCUCUGCGUCGGCUGUCCUAUGCCAUUCAAUUUUUGAAAGGCAGCGCAGAGAGAGGUCCACUAUUUAUUUUAUUCUUUUCAUUUAUUGGGGAAAUAAAUAUGGCAGUUCUUAGAUUUUGUUUUGUGCCUGUUCUAGCGGCUCUCGCUAUUGGUAUGAUUGCCUCUUCUGUUACUGUUCAAGCCCAGUCCCCCGCCCUUGCCCCUACCCUUGCCCCCACCACCAACGACGGAACAUCGAUUGACCAAGGGGUUGCAUGUGUAUUGAUGCUGGUGGCAUUGUUGCUUACAUACAUGAUUCAUGUCGCUGACUUAUGCUUCAACUUUUGAGCCAUUUGUUAGAUUAUCAAAUUUCUAGGGAGAGGGGGGAUAUGCUGGAUGAUUUGUAACUAUGCUUGUAUAAGUUUAGGCAAACUCUUGUUGGCUUUUUCCCGUGGAUAAUUUGAUGACUUCAAUUUUAUUAUGUUUAGUGGCAUUCUCAUAA